AUUUCUUUGAUGUUCAUGAAACAGCAUUGUUGGGUUACUUCAUCCAGAUCCUCCUCCUUCCCACCUUGCAGGGGCAAGUGAGAAAUAUAGCAAGACACCCUGGAUACACAUCUAUCAUGAACCAGAGAGGGCCGCAACAGGGCCUGGUGCUUAAAUAUGUCAAGGCUCUAAAGCCAGGUUUGGUUUACAUUACCUUUCACAGUGGUAGAGUUGUCUCUUCUCUAGAAAGUAGUGGGUUCAUUUAAUUCUUGAACGUCAAAACAUAAUUACAAAAAAUACGUAUGACAAAACAAUAUUCUAAGAAACUUAAUAGUGAAUAGUUUUUAAAAUUAGAAAAUCAUUUUCUGGUAUAAAGAAUCACCUCCUUGUGGAGGAAUGCUUUGUUCUGUGAGGGGUUUUCUUAAACAAGAGCAUGGGGUCCAUCAGUCUCCUAAGACAGCCAAUCCUCCCCCACCAUAUGACAUUUUCAGAGAUCCCAUGAGUGUUGUGAGCAGCCUUCAUCAAUUAUCUGAGACGCAGUUUGAGGGGUUAUAUUUUUGCAGACAAUAAUUCCCAUUUAACUGAUUAAAAUCCUCUAAACUCUGAAAGUUAUACAUAGCUACCCUGGAGAAUGCAGGGGUUAGCUUUUUCCUUUCUGACUUUAAGAUGAAGCUCUGGGACAGCAUAUCUGGUGCUCAAUCCACAGUGAUUCACUUUCCAGGGAGAAACCACAUGAUAUAAACUUCCAGGUGCUACAUCUUAGCCAUCAUACUUAAUGCUACUCUUAUUGAUUAUAUUGCUACUUUGUAUAUUAUUAUUUUAAGUUAUGUCAUUAAAAAUAAUAUGGUGAGAAAAGCACAUUUCUACCUAUCAUUGUUCUCCAAAGUGGUUGUAUGACACAUAUGGCCCAACCUACUUCCCUUCUAUGUCUCUGUGUUGCUUCACUACCCCUCCUGCUCCAGUGUUCUUAAGGGAUAUGCUGGUGGGUACCACCUUACUUAAAGUCAGACUGUAAUAAUAACCUGUCUUUUUGUGGCACCAAUAAAUGGCCAAACUCA
ensembl:lncRNA